GGAUUAGAUACCCUGGUAGUCCACGCUGUAAACGAUGUCUACUAGCCGUUGAGAUCUAUAAGGUCUGAGUGGCGCAGCCAACGCAUUAAGUAGACCGCCUGGGGAGUACGGCCGCAAGGUUAAAACUCAAAUGAAUUGACGGGGGCCCGCACAAGCGGUGGAGCAUGUGGUUUAAUUCGAAGCAACGCGAAGAACCUUACCUACCCUUGACAUCCUGCGAAUCUUGUAGAGAUACGAGAGUGCCUUCGGGAGCGCAGUGACAGGUGCUGCAUGGCUGUCGUCAGCUCGUGCUG
rnacentral:rRNA from 1 species